rnacentral:rRNA from 1 species
AAGAAUUUCGGUUAUCGAUGGGGAUGCGUUCCAUUAGGCAGUUGGUGAGGUAACGGCUCACCAAACCUUCGAUGGAUAGGGGUUCUGAGAGGAAGGUCCCCCACAUUGGAACUGAGACACGGUCCAAACUCCUACGGGAGGCAGCAGUGAGGAAUAUUGGUCAAUGGGCGCAGGCCUGAACCAGCCAAGUAGCGUGAAGGAUGACUGCCCUAUGGGUUGUAAACUUCUUUUAUAUGGGAAUAAAGUUUUCCACGUGUGGAAUUUUGUAUGUACCAUAUGAAUAAGGAUCGGCUAACUCCGUGCCAGCAGCCGCGGUAAUACGGAGGAUCCGAGCGUUAUCCGGAUUUAUUGGGUUUAAAGGGAGCGUAGGUGGACAGUUAAGUCAGUUGUGAAAGUUUGCGGCUCAACCGUAAAAUUGCAGUUGAUACUGGCUGUCUUGAGUACAGUAGAGGUGGGCGGAAUUCGUGGUGUAGCGGUGAAAUGCUUAGAUAUCACGAAGAACUCCGAUUGCGAAGGCAGCUCACUGGACUGCAACUGACACUGAUGCUCGAAAGUGUGGGUAUCAAACAGGAUUAGAUACCCUGGUAGUCCACACAGUAAACGAUGAAUACUCGCUGUUUGCGAUAUACAGUAAGCGGCCAAGCGAAAGCAUUAAGUAUUCCACCUGGGGAGUACGCCGGCAACGGUGAAACUCAAAGGAAUUGACGGGGGCCCGCACAAGCGGAGGAACAUGUGGUUUAAUUCGAUGAUACGCGAGGAACCUUACCCGGGCUUAAAUUGC